CACCGCGGUUAAACGAGAGGCCCCAGUUGAUAGUAUCACGGCGUAAAGAGUGGUUAAGGAUUACAAUUUAAUAAAGCUAAACAGCCCUCCGGCCGUCAUACGCUUCCAGGCGCUAGAGACCCAGUAUACGAAAGUAGCUUUAACACCCCCCCCCGACUCCACGAAAGCUGAGGGA
rnacentral:rRNA from 1 species